rnacentral:rRNA from 1 species
UACAGAGACUGCAAGCGUUAUUCGGAUUCACUGGGCGUAAAGGGUGCGCAGGCGGCCGAGUGUGUGAGGCGUGAAAGCCCGGGGCUUAACCCCGGAAUUGCACCUCAAACUACACGGCUAGAGCAUUGGAGAGGGUAGCAGAAUUCAUGGUGUAGCAGUGAAAUGCGUAGAUAUCAUGAGGAAUACCAGAGGCGAAGGCGGCUUUCUGGGCCUUACCUGACGCUGAGACGCGAAAGCGUGGGGAGCGAACCGG